UUACCAAGGCCAGUUGGACUGGGACUGAACGAGGACGUGAUCCAACCAGAUUCUCGGAAUUUGGCCGGAUUCUCUGAAUGUGGCUGGCCCGAAGUCUUUAUCAUUCCAUCUUAAGAAGACUCUUUCAGGCUUUGCUAGGCAAGCCGCUGUGGCAGAGGUUUUACCUGACGUGAUCAAGAGGUUUUACCUGACAUGAUCAAGUGUCUGGACAGCAGACAGCAGCAUGCAGGCCUUCAGCUUGACAUCCCUCAAGGGAAUGGAUCCUGCCCGUCAUUCAUCCCUGAGACAACCCUCGGCUGAGACCCCUUGACUAUAGCCUUGUGAGAGAUCAACCGUGAUGACUCGGUGGCCCCAGUGGAGAUGCCCCAGAACCCUUUCAGCAGCUCACAGAUGUUUCAUGACAGAACUUGAUGGUGCUGAUCAGUAUCACAUGCUGAGUUGGAUGGGAGUGACUUUUCCUGCAGCAGGACUUCUGGAACUCGGCCCAAGUGCUUGGUUGUGGAUCUCUGCAUCUAUGUCCAUCAGUUACUGGAUAAAAGCUCUCUGAUGACAAUUAAGAGCCCUCCAUGUUCUCUAGAGAGAAACGAAGGCAUGGCAUUAGAGACAGCCACAUUCUCAUGACAGUAUAGGAUGAACAAACACCAGUGAGGCAUCUGGGAGACUGAGGUAGGAGGAUCAUGGGAGAUUAAGACCAGCCUGGGCUACACAAUGAAUUCCUGAGCAGCCUCGGCUAUGUGUAAGGGAAAAAAAAAACCAUUAAGAAUGUAUUUAACACUUUUUAAGAAGAGACGUGGUCUAGAUUUUCAAUUACUGAAGGAUUGAGACCCCCCCCCCCACCCGUGGGUGGAUAGAGCUGAAUCUUACAGGCACGUGGAAGACCUAGGCAGCCCGUCUAGACAUCAGUCAUGGUGCAUGCUCUAUGAAGAAGGCUGUGGGUGUGAUCUUGCUGUCCUUUCAUCCGAACACCUAGAAUCUGGCCAAUUUCCUGCUUUGUCUUUGGACACAGUCAGCCUGCAAAUCCCUCAUUUGUUUAUUUAGUCCAGAGCAGUACUAUGGAAACAAUAACCAUUGCAUUGGCCUGUGCUGGUGCUCAUGACAAGCAGUUGAUCUGCAUUGGUUCCUCUCGUCGUCCUCGUAGUGAUUUUGUGAGUUAGGA